UAGGGAAUAUUAGUAAUGGGCGAAAGCCUGAACUAGCAACGCCGCGUGUGCGAAGAAGGCCUUCGGGUUGUAAAGCACUUUUUGAGAGGAUGAGGAAGGACGGUACUCUCAGAAUAAGUCUCGGCUAACUACGUGCCAGCAGCCGCGGUAACACGUAGGAGGCGAACGUUAUCCGGAUUUACUGGGCGUAAAGCGCGUGGAGGUGGUUUGGUAAGUAGGGCGUGAAAGCUCCUGGCUCAGCUGGGAGAGGCCGUUCUAAACUGCCGAACUAGAGGAUGGUAGAGGGAGGUGGAAUUCCGGGUGUAGCGGUGGAAUGCGCAGAUAUCCGGAGGAACACCAGUGGCGAAAGCGGCCUCCUGGACCACUCCUGACACUCAGACGCGAAAGCUAGGGUAGCAAACGG
rnacentral:rRNA from 1 species